UACGUAGGCAGCAAGCGUUGUUCGGAAUUACUGGGCGUAAAGAGUGUGUAGGCGGUGCUCUAAGUUCGGUGUGAAAUCUCCCGGCUCAACUGGGAGGGUGCGCCGGAAACUGGAGUGCUGGAGCGCGGGAGAGGAAAGCGGAAUUCCUGGUGUAGCGGUGAAAUGCGCAGAUAUCAGGAAGAACACCAAUGGCGAAAGCAGCUUUCUGGGACGGUACUGACGCUGAGACGCGAAAGCGUGGGGAGCGAACAGG
rnacentral:rRNA from 1 species